rnacentral:lncRNA from 1 species
GCUGACGUCAGAUGCGCUGGCCAAUGAGCGCGGGGCCUGCUGCGGCCGCACGCGCAGUCCUGCCCAGAGACGCCAGGGGGAGGAAGAGCGCGAGCCCCUGAGACAGCAAAGGUGCCCGGAAGUGGGAGACGGAUAUAGCCUGUGAUAUUUUCCUCCACUUCUAAAGAAAUUUUCGAUAUUUUAAGUUAUACAGCUAUGUUUUGUCAAGACUUUGAAGAGUCAGGGAUAUACUGCUUGCAAGCUAAGAGGGUUCCUAAAGGAAAUAGAUCAAAUGGCUUGGAUGGAAGUUUUCCAUGGGCUAAAGCUCUCUGGCUACAACCCCUGCUGAGUCAGCAGAUAUCAAUGCUAUUGCUGGACAUGACACCAUCCUAAAGACAGGUCAGUCAGACAUUGGUAGCAGGUUAGAUCAUUUCCAUCAAGGGAGUGGCAAAACUUUGUGGAAUUCAAAAUACCUCUCACUGGAAUAGAUACUUAGUCUAUAAAUUGGUUUACUUUUCCGGACUGCAGUGCUCCUAGAGAAACAACCAUUGCAGAUGUACAGAAUGUCUUCACCAUUACACUUACUUCUGAAGAAGUAAUUCAC